rfam:Brassica napus, WGS project CCCW01000000 data, contig: 2139
AAGAACCCGUCUCUUAACUUUUAACUUUUAACUAAAAAAACUAAAAACCGGUUUUUAAAUAAGAUAUUUAAGAAUUUAAGAACCGAUUUUUAGUUUUUUUAGUUAAAAGUUAAAAGUUAAGAGACGGGUUCUU